CGGGACCAAAUUCGUUUCCAGAGCACCCUCUUCUUAGAGUUCGUAACAGACGACAGCUCCAGCUUCCACACUAAAAGAAAUGAGUGGGUUUAACCUUUCCCCUCCUCAACUCACAGUGUCCACUGGCUCAGCCACAGUCAACCUGCUUCGCAAGCGGAGACGACACACACAGAUGAAGCCUGUGUAAGCAGAUUAUUGAGGUUAAAAGGAACAAAUGCUGAUACGGCAAUGAUGACGUCGUCACUUGGCAGGAGAUUGCUCUCAGCCAGCUAAGAGU